CCUACGGGCGGCAGCAGUGGGGAAUAUUGGACAAUGGGCGAAAGCCUGAUCCAGCCAUGCCGCGUGUGUGAAGAAGGCCUUCGGGUUGUAAAGCACUUUCAGUGGGGAAGAAAGCCUUGGGGCUAAUACCCUCGAGGAAGGACAUCACCCACAGAAGAAGCACCGGCUAACUCCGUGCCAGCAGCCGCGGUAAUACGGAGGGUGCGAGCGUUAAUCGGAAUUACUGGGCGUAAAGCGCGCGUAGGCGGUCUGAUAAGCCGGUUGUGAAAGCCCCGGGCUCAACCUGGGAACGGCAUCCGGAACUGGCAGGCUAGAGUGCAGGAGAGGAAGGUAGAAUUCCCGGUGUAGCGGUGAAAUGCGUAGAGAUCGGGAGGAAUACCAGUGGCGAAGGCGGCCUUCUGGACUGACACUGACGCUGAGGUGCGAAAGCGUGGGUAGCAAACAGGAUGAAUACCCCAGUAGUC
rnacentral:rRNA from 1 species